ACAGAAUUGCUAGACGCAAUAGGUGCGUUGUCUUUAGUCUUCCCCGUUCCCUCUGAGGGCUGGAAGGGGUUAAAUCUCUAGCUCCGGCGCCGUGGGAGAAGUUGUAGCUAUUUAAUAUGUUUCCACUGACUGUGGAAAACAAGCAUGUGGCCCAGUUGUUGCUCAGUACUGGUACCUGUCCAAGAUGUAUCUUCAGAUUCUGUGGUGUGGAUUUUCAUGCACCAUACAAACUUCCCUACAAGGAGUUGCUCAAUGAACUGCAAAAAUUUCUGGAAACUGAAAAAGAUGAAUUAAUUUCAGAAGUUCCAAACCCACCUCCCAAGAAAAUUCGACUACAAGAACUAGAAGAUGGGAUUGAUGGGAUGGAUAAUCUGAGUCAAAAUGGAGAGGGAAAGAUCUCGAUUAUUGAAGAUGGAAGCAUUGCUUCCAAGAACUCAAAUUUAAAUGUAUGCAAUGUAUGCCUAGGAAUUCUUCAAGACUUCUGUGAAAAAGAGUUCAUUAAAAAGGUGUGCCAAAAGGUUGAGGCCUCUGGGUUUGAAUUCACCAACUUGGUAUUGUCAAUCUCCUUCCCACCACAGCUAUCUGUAAGAGAGCAUGCUGCAUGGUUGCUGGUAAAACAGGAAAUGGGAAAGCAGAGUCUGUCGCUGGAAAGAAAUGAUACAGUUCAGCUAAAAGAAGCCUACAAAUGGAUAACUCACCCCCUGUUUUCAGAGGAACUGGGUGUUCCCAUUGAUGGAAAGAGCUUGUUUGAAGUGAGUGUGGUCUUUGCUCACCCAGAAACAGUUGAGGAUUGCCACUUCCUACGUGCGAUAUGCCCAGAUUGUUUCAAGCCAGCCAAAAACAAACAGUCAGUAUUCACUAGAAUGGCAGUUAUGAAAGCUUUGAAUAAGAUUAAAGAAGAGGAUUUCCGCAAGCAGUUUCCUUGUCCUCCAAACUCACCAAAGGCUGUAUGCAGUGUUGUUGAAAUUGAAUGUGCUCAUGGUGCUGUUUUUGUGGCUGGGAGAUAUAAUAAAUACUCCAGGAAUCUACCACAAACUCCUUGGAUAAUUGACGGAGAAAGGAAGCUGGACUCUUCAGUGGAAGAAUUAAUUUCAGACCAUCUUUUGACAGUGUUCAAAGCAGAGAGCUUUAAUUUUUCAUCCUCUGGGAGAGAAGAUGUAGAUGUGAGAACAUUAGGAAAUGGAAGGCCCUUUGCAAUUGAGCUGGUGAAUCCUCAUAGAGUACAUUUCACUUCACAAGAAAUUAAGGAACUUCAGCAGAAAAUUAAUAAUUCGUCUAACAAAAUCCAAGUCCGUGACUUGCAGCUUGUCACAAGAGAGGCAAUAGGUCAUAUGAAAGAAGGUGAAGAAGAAAAGACCAAGACCUAUAGUGCCUUAAUAUGGACAAAUAAAGCAAUACAGAGGAAGGACAUUGAAUUCCUAGAUGACAUAAAGGACUUAAAGAUUGACCAGAAAACACCUUUACGGGUCCUUCACCGGAGGCCCCUGGCUGUGAGAACUCGCAUCAUUCACUCCAUGGAGACACACUAUGUGGAUGAGCACCAUUUCCGCCUCUACCUGAAGACUCAGGCAGGAACCUACAUUAAAGAGUUUGUACAUGGAGACUUUGGAAGAACGAAGCCGAACAUUUGCUCUCUGAUGGAUGUGACUGCAGACAUUCUUGAGCUGGAUGUUGAGUCUGUAGAUGUCGAUUGGCCCCCUGCUCUGGAUGACUAGCUUUCAAUGGGAAACAAAGAGUAGGGUUUUCCAGCAAAAUGUGGACGUCCAUUCAGCAUACACUGUUUCUUUUUGGCUCAGCUUUGAAUUUAGUGGAUCUUCAAAUGGAAGAAUUAAGAAUCUCCUUAGCAAACUUAAAUUAGAAGACUUGUUUCUUAAAUUUCUAUUCCUGGGAUUAUACAAAAUUUCAAGAGUAAGCAUUAGCUGCAAAUACUUAUUCCAAAUAUCCAUAUGAGACAUAGAUUGUUAAAAAUUAAUGUAGGUCUUUAUUUAAGCAGAACAGAAGACAUUAAGUCAUGAGAGUACUACAUAGUUUAACUUUUGCCUAUAUAAAAAUAUUUUUAAAUUACUUUUGUGAUCUUCUAUAGCUUAUUUAAAAAAAAACCAAAAAACAAAAAACACUUAACAGAAAGGGCCCUUUGUACUUUUAGUAUCUCUUUGUCCCAAAUAUAGUCCGUGGUUUAGUUUAGGAAAAACACCGAGUACCUGGAAAAAUGGGGAAAAAAAUUUUUGGUAAAAUGAAAAAUUUCCCAAGUAAGGUAACUUAUUUCAUUUACAAGUUAUAUGAAAUCAAUUUAGAAGUUAAAUUUCUAUUUCCAAAGAGAAAAAGGCAUCUUACUUAGAUCUUUUGGGGCUUUAUUCUUUGAUUUUUAAGUCCAUAUGAGAAUGAACUUUGAUGUAAGCUUUCCUGAGAUGAUGUUUUUAAAUGCUGCCCUUUAUUAUUAUAGGGAAAAUAAAUUUUUCAAUUCAAUUUUUUCAUUUUGAAAUAAUUUCAGACUUGCAAGAAAAGUACAAAGAAUGUUUUUCCCAGAAAUGUAUCACCCUGAAUGCAUUAGUAAUUCCUACAAACAAGGACAAAUUCCGACAAACAAGGACAUUCUUCUACUUCCUCACAAUGUAACUAUCAAAAUCAGAUUAACACUAACAUUACUAUUAUGUAAUCCACAGGACCCCCCCCACCCCCACCCUGCUCAAAUUUCACCAGUUGUCAAAAAAUGUCCUUCAUAGCCAAGGGAUGAUACUUUGUAUUUAAUUAUGUCUCUUUAAUCUUCACCAAUCUGAAACAGUUUGUCUUUCCUUGACUUCCCUUACUUCAACAUUUUUUGAGGAUUUCAGGCCAGUUAUUUUGCAGACUGUUCCUCAUUUGGGCUUGCCUGAUGUUUCCUUAUAAUUAGGUUCAGUUUGUACCUUUCUAGCAAGAAUACCACAGAAGGGAGAUUAUCUUCUUGCAUCUUCUCAGAUGUCACAAUUUUGAUCACUGCAGUUACUGAUGACUCGGCUUUGAUCAGUUAACGAAGGUGGUGUGUGCCAAUCUCCUUCACUUUUAUAGUUACCCUUUUUCCCUUUAAUAAGUAUCUUGUAGGGAGACCUUCAAACUUUCAUUCACUAGUUUUAGCAUUUAUUGAAGAUUUUCACCUGAAUCUAUUACCACAAUGAUUAUCAAAUGAUCUUCUAAUUCCACCAUUCCUUUUGGCAUUACACUGAAAGGUAGAGCUUUCCCUUUUUGUGGAUUCAUGGCAUCCUAUUUUAUUUGAUGGUUUAUAAUCUGUUACUGACAUUUAUUUUGAUUUCUAAGUGUUGAUGUGGCCAGUGGGUGCCCCUUCAAGAUGGCUCCUUUGUCCUUGUGACAUGUCCCCAUCAUUCUUAGAGCAUGUUCUUACUUUCUAAUACAAAGACAUUCCAGGCUCAUCUUGUAUUUCAUCUGCACCAGCCCUGGAAUGGGCUAUUUCUCUAAGAAAAACUGGUUCCUUUUCAUGGAAAAUGAUAGAAAAAAGAUCUGGGCACUAGGUGUGCUCACUGCUGUUGUGGCAUUGCUGCUACCAAGCCCUCUCAUGGCAUGCAUGCAUGCGCACACCCCUAUAUACUUAUCUACAUAUAUUGAAAAUUAUGAGUUUAUACCAGUACUUCCGAUUCCAACCUUCUUCUAGUUUUCCCCCUUUCCGCAUUUGUAAGUCCUUUCUGACAGUGAGAAGUCUGGGUCCAUUAGCCUUAACAUUUUCCUUAAUAGAUCAUUCCCCCUCAUAAGUAACCAAUCUCCUGUUGCUGCAUCCUUAUUUCAGAUCACUGAGACUCCCCUCCCUACUACCCUCAAAUGUUCCCAGGCUCCACACUGUAAUCCCACAAUGGGCCACCAUCUUUGCCCCCUGUGGCAAUAGGUAACUGUACCUUGCUCAGAAUAAGCAAAUGACUUUUGUCCUGAAUUGUUCAGGAAGGGAGAGAGACAGGCAGGAAAUAAGUCAGGAAGGCAGAAAAUGAAAAUCUCUUUAAAAGGCAUUUCAGUACUCUAAAAAAAUUAUUUUAUUUUAUUUAUUUGAUUUUUUGUGGUACGCGGGCCUCUCACUGUUGUGGCCUCUCCUGUUGCGGAGCACAGGCUCUGGAUGCGCAGGCUCAGCGGCCAUGGCUCACGGGCCCAGCCACUCCGCGGCAUGUGGGAUCUACCCGGACUGGGGCACGAACCCGCAUCCCCUGCAUCGGCAGGCGGACUCUCAACCACUGCGCCACCAGGGAAGCCCAAAAAUUAUCACUUUAAAGGACAGUUACAUAUGUAAGUAUAUUCAGAUACAGCAUUCCAUAAAAAUGUCUAAUGUUUCUAAGCAACCAAAACUGCCUUUCUCUUUAAGGAGGAUGCUAUAAAUACAAGAAAAUCUUGAUAAUUUUAAAGUCAAACAGCAACAAAUUUUUGUAAGGGUUUUAGAAUUUUUUCCAUUUAUUAUAUUAUCAAGAAAAAAAUCACUGUAUACAAGAUAUUACAAAAGUAAUAAAAUAUUCUGUACAAAAGACAUUUUGACAUUUAAAAAAUGAUUUCAACUUUUAAGUAUCACACUUAACAUUAAAUAAUUGAACACUGAGAACUUUUAAAAAUCAUUUUUUUCAGUGCUUCCAAAUUCAUUACGGUCAUUAAGAAGCAUAUACAAAUAGAACAGUUAAAAAAUAAAAAUAGCAGUGCCAUUCUUCAGGGAUCUGGAUUCAUCAUAGUCAACAGUAUUUUUAAGUACAUUCUUUUAAAAUGGAAGUCAUCUCCAAAAGUGUUCAUCUGGUCUGAACCAUGCAUUUAAGAAUGCCCAUUACCCAAAAACUUUGUGUUUUCCUUUCCAUCUCAUCUUAAAGCUAUCUGAACUGUGCACCAGCAACCAAUAUUUUUAGCUGAUUACCCAAUAAAAUCAAGUGUGUCACUAACGAAGUCUCCUGAGACUGAAUUCCACAAAUGGGGUCCCCAAACACUCCAACUUAUUUUUCACUACAUUUUAUGCAGAGCUGUAAUGUUCUGAUUAAGGUUUAAUUAGAAAAAUAAGCAAGAUGAAUGAUACCUUUAACAAAGUUUAUAUUUUACUUAUCUGCUGAUAUUCCUGAAA